CGCCCCCUUCCUUAUUAGCAAGGACAUGUUUUUGGCAUUGCCAAAUAGCUGCAAGGAAUUAUACAACUUGUAUAAGAAUCGAGAUGUUGAUUUCAGCGUUGAUGUUGAUUUCGAAGAGGAUAUCUUAUACUAUCCUGAUAAAGUUUCUUUUACUGCUUACGUGUUUGGUGAUGAUCUUAAGAAAUUACUGAACAUGGAAUACAUACGUACAUCUUGUGUGGAUAUCUGGAUAAGGUUUUUGCAAAACGAGAUCACGAAAAACAAGCUCCAAGAAGAAGUUGGAUUUUUUUUGUCCGCAUAAGCUAGGGCUGGUUAAACUUCGUCCCAGUAUCCACACAAAAUAUGUGAAUCAUUCAAUUACCAAGCAAAGUACGAAGAAAUAUAUACUUGCCCCGAUCCGUCAAGAUAAAUAUCAUUGGAUGUUGGUUGUGAUUUGCCUUGAAAGAGGGGAAGCCUUUUUCUUUGAUUCCAUGGCUGAUGGGUCAUUAGAGAAUUU